rnacentral:rRNA from 1 species
AGCGAACGCUGGCGGCAGGCUUAACACAUGCAAGUCGAACGCGCGUAGCAAUACGUGAGUGGCAGACGGGUGAGGAACACGUGGGAAUAUGCCCUUUGGUUCGGAAUAACUCAGGGAAACUUGAGCUAAUACCGGAUAUCUCCGAGAGGAGAAAGAUUUAUCGCCAAAGGAUUAGCCCGCGUCUGAUUAGCUAGUUGGUGAGGUAACGGCUCACCAAGGCGACGAUCAGUAGCUGGUCUGAGAGGAUGAUCAGCCACACUGGGACUGAGACACGGCCCAGACUCCUACGGGAGGCAGCAGUGGGGAAUAUUGGACAAUGGGCGCAAGCCUGAUCCAGCCAUGCCGCGUGAGUGAUGAAGGCCUUAGGGUUGUAAAGC